AUACCACUACUGGGCAUAUAUCUAAGGGAAAUGAAAUCAGUAUGUUGAAGAGAUAUUCACACUCCCAUAUUCAUUACAGCAUUAUUCACAAUAGCCAAGAUAUAAAAUCAAUGUAAGUGUCCAUCAGCAGAUGAAUGGAUAAAGAAAAUGUGGUACAUAUACACAAUGGAGUACCAUUCAUCCUUUAAAAGGAAGGAAAUCCUGUCGUUUGUGACAACAUGAGUGAACCUGGAGGAUACUAUGUCAAGUGAAAUAAGCCAGGUACAGAAAGACAAGUACCACAUGACCUCACUUAUAUAUGGAGUAUAAAAUAGUUGAACUCAUAGAAAUAGAGAGUAAAAUGGUGGUUACCAGAGGGUGGCGGGUGGGGAGAUUGGAAGGAUGUUGGUCAAAGGACACAAAAUUUGUUAGACAGGAGGAACAAGUUCAAGAGAUCCACUGUACAUCAUGCUGACUACAGUUAGUAACAAUAUAUUGUAUAUUUGAAAAUUGCUGAGAAUAAAUUAAGUGGUCUUAUCACAAAAAAAUGGGAAGUAUAUGAGGCAAUGCAUAUGUUCAAUAGGUUAAUUUAGCCAUUCCACAAUGUGUGUGUAUAUAUAUAUAUAUCAAUAUAUAUCAAAACAUCAUGUUGUAUACCAUAAAUCCAUACAAUUUUUACUUGUCAAAACACACAUUUUUUAAAAAUCAAAAAUAACAAGUGUCGCAACGAUAUGGGGAAAUUGAACC
rnacentral:lncRNA from 10 species